GUUGUCGUGGCCGAGUGGUUAAGGCGAUGGACUAGGAAUCUAUUGGGGUCUCCCCGCGAAGGUUCAAAUCCUUUCUUUUUUCAACA
rnacentral:tRNA from 1 species